rnacentral:rRNA from 1 species
UACGUAGGGCGCAAGCGUUGUCCGGAAUUAUUGGGCGUAAAGCGCUCGUAGGCGGUUUGUCGCGUCUGCCGUGAAAGCCCGGGGCUUAACUCCGGGUCUGCGGUGGAUACGGGCAGACUAGAGUCAGGUAGGGGAGAACGGAAUUCCCGGUGUAGCGGUGAAAUGCGCAGAUAUCGGGAGGAACACCGGUGGCGAAGGCGGUUCUCUGGGCCGGUACUGACGCUGAGGAGCGAAAGCGUGGGGAGCGAACAGG